UAAAGGCUGCCUCCCUGCCUGCAAGAGACUUGAACCCGCUUGGAGGUUUUCAAAACCAGCCGGGUUGCAGGAAAGGAAAGAGGAUGUCCUUCCUGUCACCUUGGAUUUAUCAUGUUCUUCCUUCUCAUGCACAUCAUGCCCACGUUGCUAAAACCACUGCAUUUUUUUCCAGGCAGCAUCUCCUUGGUCGAGAGCCCAGGUGCUGUGACAAGCUGCACCCAUGCCCUGGUACCCCCGUGACAUGGCCUGCCCCCCGGGAAAGGAGAGACACCGGCCCUUCGGAAAGACACGCGGUGACGCCAGAGCCGGAAGCACACAGCAAGGCUGACAGAACCUCUCCCCACCCCCGUCUCCAAGCGCAGCUGUUUCCUCACGGCCCCAGGAAGGAGAUCCGGCUCUUGCCUCAGCAUCCUGUGUCAGCUGCUAACAGCCCCGUGAGUGGGCGAAUGCUCCAGAAGGUACCCUGUGCCCCGUGGGCCCGCUUUGUGCAUCUCCGUCACCGUGGCGUCAGGCUCCUUCUGGCCCUGUUUGACUCAACGUUGAUUGCAGCCUUAACACUCAAGUUCUUGAUGAAAUCCUCUCUUUGACUUCUGCUAACUUAUAACACCCCUUCAAAGCCCCUGGGGUCCCAGAGGCACUGGGUUCUGGACCAAACACCAGGCGCCAUCCCCCAGUCCCCCAGGUGAGUGUAGCCAGGGCGUCUCUGAAAUGCCAAGUGGCCAAUUUGCAAGUGGACAGCCGGCCGAGGGUGACCCUGCUGGUGGAGCGGGGCCCGGCAGGCUCGGCCGGUGCAGGGCGUCCCGUUACUCUGCGGCUUGACCUGCCUGGUUCGCCAUCGGCUGAGGCCGGAGCCCAGACGGCAGGCCCGACUCAGCUGUGUCCUCGGGUCCCACACAACAUCUUUGUCACGAAGCUUGGCAAGGACUGCUGAGUUCUUCCUUUCUGUUACCCCAGAAUCAUGCUCUGGGAGGGAAGGUGCUCCGGCCGGCCUGUCUGGAAGACUAGGUUGAGGCUCCUAAGGUGGGAUUUCAGCCCCUGUGGGGCUUUGAUGUGCAGGGGAAGGAGAGGGGGCUGCUGACGGUCUCACUGAAGUGCAGAGACCCAAAGCCAUACACGGAGCGUGAGGAAUCCAGCCCGGGCAGCAGCUUCAUUAGGCCAGUCUGGGAAGGCUGCUUCAGCCUUGGCGACGGUCGAGCUCCCGGGGGCCGUGACUACACCGCAUAUUUAUUUGAAUUCCCUCACGUAACCCAGCACAGAGCUUUGCCCAAGUGGACAGACUAGCUCAGCGGAGCAGGGGGUGCAGCCUGGAGCCUGACUGUGUGGGUUCGGAUCCCUGCUCUGUCCUUCAGCCCUGGGACGUGUGGCCUAGUCAACGGCCCUCUGUGGGCCUCGGUGUACUUGUCUGUCCAGUGGAGGCAGCAAGAGCCCCUGCUUCUGAGGCCGUUGCGUUCAGAACAGUGUUUGGCUGACUUGCUCCCACUGUGCAGCGCCCGGCAGGCACUGGGAGAGGAGAGCGGAAUCCAGGGGCAUCAGACUGGCGGCUGCCCCGGGGCGUAGACGUGGGCCCCUUGUCUCGGGCACUUAUCUUUUACCCUGGUGUCUGUCAACUGUUUUACACGUUGGGGACUUUUGGAAUUACUCGAAUCACGUGACCAAGACAGCCCAGAAGAAACCAGCACGGAGACUGAGACUCCGCGGCGAGGCCGUGAGCAGGGACCAGCCGCGGCCUUUCUACGGCCCGCGCCCGGGCUCGAAUGUACGGCUCAGCGGUGCCGGGCUCUGGGUUACGCCGCCCGGCUCCCCUUGUGUCCAGAGGUGUGUCAGGAGUGGGGCAGACCCCGGGGCCCCAGCCCAGAAUGCCGCUCAGGCGGCUGAGAGCACCGGCCAGCAGCGCUCCUGUUCCAGAGGCACCGGCUCAGUCCUGUGGAUUCGGAGGGUCUGGGUACUGGGGGAAGGGCUAACUGGGUUCUGGAAGCCUCUCUCCCCGGGGAGGCGGGGCCAGAUUCAGCCAAGGCCCCACCAUCUGUGCGAGGAGAUGGCGUGCCUUCCCUGAGCUGCCCCCCUGCUCUGUGCAGCAGACGCUUGGCUCUGGCGGCGGAUGUGGAAGCUGAGGCAGGGCUGAGGGAGGCUGUGGGCAACCCGGCAUCCACCCCAGGACCCCCUCAGGCUCUGCGCUCUGGCGAGGUCAGCACUGCGUCUGAAGAAAGUCCUCUGACAAAGAGGACACAAAGGUCCGCGAAGGCAGGACCAGCUGAAGAAGGGUCUGGAACUGGAGGGGCCCUGGGACAGCCAGGGAGGAGCACUUUAAAUAUAUCAUCCCAUUGCCUUCUGUCCUCUGAGUUUUCCAAUAAGAAAUUUGGCUGAUAAUCUUACAGAGUAUCC